CAACGUACGGCUUAGUGGUCAGAACGCUUGGACGGUAUCCAAGAAGCGCGGGUUCAAAUCCCACUACGUUCU
rnacentral:tRNA from 1 species